rnacentral:piRNA from 1 species
UGCAUUAAGGGCCUUGACUGAGAGCAUAGG